AUUGAACGCUGGCGGCAGGCCUAACACAUGCAAGUCGAGCGGAGCGGCGGACGGGUGAGUAAUGCCUAGGAAUCUGCCUGGUAGUGGGGGAUAACGUCCGGAAACGGGCGCUAAUACCGCAUACUAUCAGAUCAGCCUCGGUCGGAUUAGCUGGGUGGUGGGGUAAAGGCCUACCAAGGCGACGAUCCGUAACUGGUCUGAGAGGUUGAUCAGUCACACUGGAACUGGGACACGGUCCAGACUCCUACGGGGGGCAGAAGUGGGGAAUAUUGGAAAAUGGGCGAAAGCCUGAUCCAGCCAUGCCGCGUGUGUGAGGAAGGUCUUCGGUUUGUAAAGCACUUUAAGUUGGGAGGCGUUACCUAAAGAAUAAGCACCGGCUAACUUCGUGCCAGCAGCCGCGGUAAUAC
rnacentral:rRNA from 1 species